rnacentral:tRNA from 1 species
UGGGAUGUAACUCAGUGGUAGAGUGCUUGCCUGGCAUGUAUAAGGCCUUGGGUUUUAUCCAGCAUUGCAG